rnacentral:lncRNA from 10 species
CGCCAAUGGGGAUCUGCCGGACAGACUGAACAGCUGACUGGGGGGCACAAAGCCAAAGGAGAAUGAUAAGGGGAGAGAGUAAGAAAGCAAUGAGAUACACAUGUCUUGACUGCUUCUCUUCAUGCUGAAAUCCUGGGGGAAAGAAGUGCUAAAUCAGUUGAGGACAUGGGAACAUUUAUUCUGGAAGAAAUUUGGGUACAGAGACAGACAAGCACCAAGAGAAGAUGAUGUGAAGAAGCACAGCGAGAACACCAUGUGAAAAUGGAGGACUGGAAUGAAGCAUCUACAAGCCAGGAAAUGUCUGAGGCUACCAGAAGCCAGGAGAGAGGCCUGGAACAGAUCCUGCACUAGAACCUUCAAAGAGAGCAUGGUCCUGCUGACAUGUUGAUUUUGGACUUCUGGCCUCCAGAGCUGUGAGAAUAAAUUUCAGUUGUUUUAAGCCAUCCAGUUUUUGGUACCUUAUUAUGGCAGCCCUAGCAAACUAAUAUAGACUCCGAUAAGAAUUCAACUGAUAUAUGCCAUGAAAUUUAGUAUAUCAUCAGGACUGGGAGAAACUGGUAACUUUAUAGGUGAAUAUGAAAGAUGAUAGGGAUAACUG